rnacentral:rRNA from 1 species
GGGAAUAUUGGUAAUGUGCGAAAGCGCGAACCAGCAACGCCGCGUGCACGAUGAAGGCCUUCGGGUUGUAAAGUGCUUUUAGAGAGGAUGAGGAAGGAUAGUACUUUCUGAAUAAGCCUCGGCUAACUACGUGCCAGCAGCCGCGGUAAAACGUAGGAGGCUAGCGUUAUCCGGAUUUACUGGGCGUAAAGCGCGUGCAGGUGGUUUCGUAAGUUGGAUGUGAAAGCUCCUGGCUUAACUGGGAGAGGUCGUUCAAAACUGCGAGGCUUGAGAGUGGUAGAGGGAGGUGGAAUUCCGCGUGUAGUGGUGAAAUGCGUAGAUAUCCGGAGGAACACCAGUGGCGAAAGCGGCCUCCUGGACCAUUUCUGACACUCAGACGCGAAAGCUAAGGUAGCAAACG